CAAUAGCGUAUAUUAAAGUUGUUGCAGUUAAAAGCUCGUAGUUGGAUUUCGGAGUGGGCCAGUUGGUCCGCCGCAAGGUGUGUUACUGACUGGUUUGCUCUUCUUCGCAAAGACUGCGUGUGCUCUUGAGUGAGUGUGCGUAGAAUUUACGACGUUUACUUUGAAAAAUUAGAGUGUUUAAAGCAGGCUUAAGCCGUUGAAUACAUUAGCAUGGAAUAAUAAGAUAAGACUUGGGUCAUUAUUUUGUUGGUUUGCGGAUCGAGGUAAUGAUUAAUAGGGAUAGUUGGGGGGUAUUCAUUAUUUAAUUGUUCAGAGGUGAAAUUCUUGGAUUUAUGAAAGAUUGAACUU
rnacentral:rRNA from 1 species